rnacentral:rRNA from 1 species
UUAAGCAUAUCAAUAAGCGCAGGAAAAGAAACCAACAGGGAUUGCCUCAGUAACGGCGAGUGAAGCGGCAACAGCUCAAAUUUGAAAUCUGGCCUCUUGGGGUCCGAGUUGUAAUUUGUAGAGGAUGUUUCGGGUACCGCCUCGGUUUAAAUUUCUUGGAACAGAAUGUCAAAGAGGGUGAGAAUCCCGUCUUGGACCGGCGGUAGGGCCUAUGUGAAACUCCUUCGACGAGUCGAGUUGUUUGGGAAUGCAGCUCAAAAUGGGUGGUAAAUUUCAUCUAAAGCUAAAUAUUGGCCAGAGACCGAUAGCGCACAAGUAGAGUGAUCGAAAGAUGAAAAGCACUUUGAAAAGAGAGUUAAACAGUAUGUGAAAUUGUUGAAAGGGAAGCGCUUGCAACCAGACUUGAGCGCGGCGGUUCCCCCUUGCUUCUGCUUGGGUUACUCCGCCGUGUCCAGGCCAACAUCGGUUCUGGGGGUCGGUCAAAGGCUCUGGGAAUGUAUCUACCCACGGGUAGACUUAUAGACCAGGGUGUCAUGCGACCUCCCGGGACCGAGGAACGCGCUUCGGCUCGGAUGUUGGCGUAAUGGUUGUCAGCGACCCGUCUU